GAAUCUUUGAACUACCAUAGGCUUGGUCAUCUAUUUGUCCAUGGAAUCUUUACUGUAACCUAGGUUCAGUCUUGGCUUCUUUGUGGUAUCCUAGGCUCAGUCUUUGA